rnacentral:rRNA from 1 species
GAGUUUGAUCGUGACUCAGGAUGAACGCUGGCGGCGUGCCUAACACAUGCAAGUCGAACGGGUGUACAGAAGGGAAGAUUACGGUCGGAAGAUCCGUGCAUGAGUGGCGGACGGGUGAGUAACGCGUGGGCAACCUGGCCUGUACAGGGGGAUAACACUUAGAAAUAGGUGCUAAUACCGCAUAACGGGGGAAGGCCGCAUGGCUUUUUCCUUGAAAACUACCGGUGGUACAGGAGUGGGCCCGCGUCUGAUUAGCCAGUUGGCAGGGUAACGGGCCCACCAAGCCGACGAUCAGUAGCCGACCUGAGAGGGUGACCGGCCACAUUGGGACUGAGACACGGCCCAAACU